rnacentral:pre_miRNA from 1 species
ACAACAUUUGGACCGUCGGUCUACCGAGCAAUAUCGACCGCUAUGUCUAAGAUCUUCCUUUCGUCGU